CCGGGAACCGAACUCACGACCUUGCGCUUGCCAGGCAUGGAGCAGUUCUUAUAACUGAAGAAAUCCUGGCUAGUGGUCUUUCUUUAGAAAGCUGUCUUACUUCAUGUACAAGAGAAGACGUGUACUUUACAUCCAUCCCAGAUCUAUGCCAACAGAUGUGAGUUAAGGGCAUGUACUUUAAUGUAGUUGAUAACUUCACAGUUUAUAGGAUAUGAUUUAAAUUAAGGUGGCAUUUUUUAACUGGCCAGUAUUCUCGAUGGUUGACACAGUGUGUAGACUCACAUUCAGAAGCAAUCUCUUUGGUCUAAGUGAUGAAAUAAAAAAAGCUGUCCAGUCCUAGCAACCACUCCGUCUAUGCAUGUACCAACACAAAAGACCAGUUCUGUUUUCCUGAUACGUAAUCAUUUGGAGACUUGAAUAGUUUUGCAGCUGUGGUGUUGUUUGGCAACAAAAGUACACAUAAUUUAUCCUCGCGUGUGUCCUGAAAACUAGUCUGCACAAAAACAAGUAUUGUUGCCUCAUUGUCAACAUUGGUAGACUCAACUUGGGUUGUAUACCGUAAUGAUUCAUUAAUUCUAACAGUUGUUGCUCAGUAUCUUUUGCUGUUUCAGUUCAUCUAGUUAUAGUACUAGUAAAAAGAGAAACAUGUGCCACCUCUUGAACUGCAGCCUCUCCUAAAUGUUCACGACAAAUAUCCUUAGCAGCAGGUAGGAUCCACUUUCACCCAGAGUAAAAGGCUUAACUUAGCAACACAGCCACUAAGAAUAAUGCUCUUAGUGCAGAGACGUUUGAUGAAGUGAUAAGUUUCAAUAAUUGCUUCUGUUUUUUGUGUUCACAUUUUUUUCUUUUGCACAGCUCCAAAUGGUUGUAUUUUAAUGUACGGUGCUUGGUCUUCAUGUGACAAAACAGUUUUGAAAGUUUUAUGGCCUUGUUGGGUAUCUGGUUACCACACAUUAUACAAGGCAGGCUUGGAGAAUGUGUAUCACCUGUUGCAAUGAACCUGUAAUGUAUGACUUUUAUAUUGUGAGUCAGCCCAGGAAGCAUGGUGCGGUUACUCCCACUCGUUAUAAUGUUAUCUGUGCCACGGUUUGCUUGGACCCAGGUACCGUGCAGCAUUUAACUUACAGACUGUGCCACGUAUACUGUAACUUCCCAGUGAUAGGAUUGAAUCCCGGACCCUUACCCUGAGCCACAUACCCCACCUCCCCCGACUCCUUUUUUAAUGAUCAGGUCUUGAGUCACUGCGUUGUCCAGUCUGAGCUCAGGUGUAUGGUGCUGCUGCCUCACUCUCCCAGUGUUGGGAUUACAGGUG